rnacentral:rRNA from 1 species
UACGGGGGGGGCAAGCGUUGUUCGGAAUUACUGGGCGGAAAGGGCUCGUAGGCGGCCAACUAAGUCCUACGUGAAAUCCCUCGGCUUAACCGGGGAACUGCGUCUGAUACUGGAUGGCUUGAGAUUGGGAGAGGGAUGCGGAAUUCCAGGUGUAGCGGUGAAAUGCGUAGAUAUCUGGAGGAACACCGGUGGCGAAGGCGGCAUCCUGGACCGGCAUUGACGCUGAUGAGCGAAAGCUAGGGGAGCAAACGGG